GCAUAUCAAUAAGCGGAGGAAAAGAAACCAACAGGGAUUGCCCCAGUAACGGCGAGUGAAGCGGCAAGAGCUCAAAUUUGAAAUCUGGCCCCCUCCGGGGGUCCGAGUUGUAAUUUGUAGAGGAUGCUUCGGGUGUGGCCGCCGUCUAAGUUCCUUGGAACAGGACGUCAGAGAGGGUGAGAAUCCCGUCUUGGGCGGCCGGUCCGCGCCCGUGUGAAGCUCCUUCGACGAGUCGAGUUGUUUGGGAAUGCAGCUCUAAGCGGGUGGUAAAUUUCAUCUAAAGCUAAAUACUGGUCGGAGACCGAUAGCGCACAAGUAGAGUGAUCGAAAGGUUAAAAGCACCUUGGAAAGGGAGUUAAACAGCACGUGAAAUUGUUGAAAGGGAAGCGCUUGCGGCCAGACUCGGGGGCGGGGUUCAGCGGGCGCUCGUCGCCCGUGCACUCCCCGUCUCCCGGGCCAGCAUCAGUUUCGACGGCCGGUCAAAGGCCCCCGGAAUGUGUCGUCUCUCGGGACGUCUUAUAGCCGGGGGUGCAAUGCGGCCCGUCGGGACUGAGGAACGCGCUCCGGCUCGGAUGCUGGCGUAAUGGCCGUAAGCGGCCCGUCUUGAAACACGGACCAAGGAGUCUAACAUCCACGCGAGUGUUCGGGUGUCAAACCCGUGCGCGCAGUGAAAGCGAACGGAGGUGGGAGCCUUAGGGCGCACCAUCGACCGAUCCUGAAGUCUUCGGAUGGAUUUGAGUAGGAGCGUGGCCGUUGGGACCCGAAAGAUGGUGAACUAUGCCUGAAUAGGGUGAAGCCAGAGGAAACUCUGGUGGAGGCUCGCAGCGGUUCUGACGUGCAAAUCGAUCGUCAAAUUUGGGCAUAGGGGCGAAAGACUAAUCGAACCAUCUAGUAGCUGGUUCCUGCCGA
rnacentral:rRNA from 1 species